rnacentral:rRNA from 1 species
GUCCUCUUGUUUUUUUAGGAGGUCUAACCUGCCCAGUGAACAUUUUAACGGCCGCGGUAUAUUGACCGUGCAAAGGUAGCAUAAUCAUUAGUCUUUUAAUAGAAGGCUGGAAUGAAAGGUUUAACGAAAAAUUAGCUGUCUCAAUUAUAAAUUUGAAUUUAGCCUUUGAGUCAAAAGGCUUAAAUUUUAUUGAUGGACGAAAAGACCCUAUAGAGCUUUACAUUUUAAUUUAAUAACCUUACUUAGGUUAAUAACUUGAGUUUAUUUAUUUAAAUGUUUUGUUGGGGUGACAAGAAAUAUAUAAUUAACUUUUAUUAUUUAAUUUACAUUAAUAUAUGAUUAUUGGAUCCAUUAUUAUUGAUCAAUAGAUUAAGUUACCUUAGGGAUAACAGCGUAAUCUUCCUUCAGAGUUCAAAUUUACAGGAAGGCUUGCGACCUCGAUGUUGGAUUAAGAUAAUAAUUAGGUGCAGUAGCUUAAUUAAUAGGUCUGUUCGACCUUUAAAUUCUU